GCUUCCAGCCUUCAAACAAGUAAGACGUGUGGAAGCAUAGUUUGCUGAGUUGUCGAUUUUCCGGUACCUAUUUGAGAACGCACAAUUGUCAAAGAAUGUUGCUGAUAACCGCCGGAUGCUGCGAACUCGUUGCUCGUUGGUCUAGUAGUCAUUUGAUAUGCACCUUGUUGAUGUGGUUUUUGCUGUCCCGUUCCGUCAUAGUUUGCCCCUUGACCUGUGGCGUAUUGAUGAUCAUAAUAGCUUCCAUAAUGUACUUGAGCAGAUGUCCAUCUCAAUAACACCCACAAAC